rnacentral:rRNA from 1 species
GACGAACGCUGGCGGCGUGCUUAACACAUGCAAGUCGAACGAAGAGCGAUGGAAGCUUGCUUCUAUCAAUCUUAGUGGCGAACGGGUGAGUAACGCGUAAUCAACCUGCCCUUCAGAGGGGGACAACAGUUGGAAACGACUGCUAAUACCGCAUACGAUCUAAUCUCGGCAUCGAGGAUAGAUGAAAGGUGGCCUCUACAUGUAAGCUAUCACUGAAGGAGGGGAUUGCGUCUGAUUAGCUAGUUGGAGGGGUAACGGCCCACCAAGGCGAUGAUCAGUAGCCGGUCUGAGAGGAUGAACGGCCACAUUGGGACUGAGACACGGCCCAGACUCCUACGGGAGGCAGCAGGGGGGAAUCUUCCGCAAUGGACGAAAGUCUGACGGAGCAACGCCGCGUGAGUGAUGACGGCCUUCGGGUUGUAAAGCUCUGUUAAUCGGGACGAAAGGCCUUCUUGCGAAUAGUGAGAAGGAUUGACGGUACCGGAAGAGAAAGCCACGGCUAACUACGUG